GCACAAGCGGAGGAACAUGUGGUUAAUUCGAUGAUACGCGAGGAACCUUACCUGGGCUUAAAUGUAGAGUGCAUUUUUUAGAGAUAGAAAUUCCCUUCGGGGCUUUCUGCAAGGUGCUGCAUGGUUGUCGUCAGCUCGUGCCGUGAGGUGUCGGGUUAAGUCCCAUAACGAGCGCAACCCUUAUCGUUAGUUGCCAGCUGGUAAAGCAGGGGACUCUAGCGAAACUGCCACCGUAAGGUGAGAGGAAGGUGGGAUGACGUCAAAUCAGCACGGCCCUUAUGUCCAGGGCUACACACGUGUUACAAUGGCCGGCACAGAGGGCAGCUACCUGGUGACAGGAUGCUAAUCUCGAAAACCGGUCUCAGUUCGGAUCGAAGUCUGCAACUCGACUUCGUGAAGCUGGAUUCGCUAGUAAUCGCGCAUCAGCCAUGCCGCGGUGAAUACGUUCCCGGGCCUU
rnacentral:rRNA from 1 species